UCCUGUUGCACGGUGCCUAACCAAUACGGAUAACACCGUAAAUUGUGUACAUUUCCGGCUAAUACGAGAAACGACAACGGAUCAUAUCAGAAAAAAAACAAAGCGAAAUGCAGGAUGUGCCUAGUAUUGGAAGUGAAAAUGGCAACAUAACCUCUGUCGCAUAUUGAUUUCACGGGCACCGGAUACAUUCAGACGAAACCAUAAAAUACUGGCACCGGAUACAUUCCGGAAACACAACACUGGAAAAUACACGAAAUCAAUUGAAACAUAUACAGAUGAGCAUUAUCAGUACUUCAGAUUUACUCAUCCACGACCGGCGUCGUUACGGUGAGGCGAGGCCGAGAUGAUGACGAGAUACAGCUCAGAAUACUUCGUGACUGUAGUCACGCAUUUGGUGAUGAGCUGUCACAUGUAAUUCAUCCUGGCGAACUAUCGUUGGAGAGACAAUUAUACUUGUUCAAAAACGUUCGUACAUUUGUGCGUCCGUCCUUUCAAGACAUCAUAUGCCCUGCUCCAGAAAGUGCUUAGAGUUCAUGUUUCUAUGUACCGUAACUGUGUUUAUUUGAUGCUAAAACUAUUAAAUGAGUUAACAAGAAAGAAACGCAGCAACUAAAUGACGUUGACAACUAGUAGUGUGUUUACAAAAAAUGGCACAAAUUAAAAAGUAUAUAAGAUAUUCUAACACGGCACGUGCCAAAUUUCAUAUAAACAAAGAAGAAAAUCGUCCAUGGGUUAUUCUGCAAUAAUUAUGGGCGGAGCUUAAUGUUUCGCAAAUAGUUCCGAAUAAAUAUGUUAUUUGUUAGGAAACGUAAUUAAGAAAACAUUAUAUAGCAUGUCAGCUUUCCAGUAGCAUCAAAAAACGUGACGUCAUUUAGUUUCUACGAUUUUUGUUCAAUGAAAGUGACGUCAUUUGCAAAAUAUUUAUGAAUGAAAGCGACGUCAUAUGUUUGUAACGAUUCAAUGACGUCACUAAAUAGUGAACUUUGUACUAAGAACUUAAGAAGGGCGGAGUAUUUAAAAAUAUAGUUCACGUCUAAAAGCUUGAACCAAAUCAAUCAGAAUCGUGUUAGAAUCGAAAUAAUAAUUUUAUAUGAUGGUUUGUUGUCGAAUAACCCACAGUAAGGAGUAUAGAUGCGUGUAAUUAUUAUUAUAUAGGCCUGACAUCCCCACCCGCCACGAUCCACUAGAGACCUUGAACAUACAAUAAUUGUCUUGCGUUUUCUGUCUUGUAAAAAAAAACAUUACAUUUUUGACUCGCCUGUCAUUUCGCCUUGUUAUUUCUGCCUGUCAACACGAUCU